UGUGAAUUGCUCUCUCCUCUGUACCCUAAC
rnacentral:piRNA from 1 species